rnacentral:rRNA from 1 species
CGAACGGGGUGAGUAACGCGGUAGGGUAACCCUGCCCUGGGUAGCGGGGGAUAACUAUUGGAAACGAUAGCUAAUACCGCAUAANAGUAGAUAUCGCAUGAUAGCUGCUUGAAAGGUGCAAUUGCNCCACUACCAGAUGGACCUGCGUUGUAUUAGCUAGUUGGUGAGGUAACGGCUCACCAAGGCAACNAUACAUAGCCNACCUGAGAGGGUGAUCGGCCACACUGGGACUGANACACGGCCCANACUCCUACGGGAGGCAGCAGUAGGGAAUCUUCNGCAAUGGACGGAAGUCUGACCGANCAACNCCNCGUGAGUGAAGAAGGUUUUCGGAUCNUAAAGCUCUGUUGUAAGAAAANAACGAGUGUGANAGUGGAAAGUUCACACUGUGACGGUNUCU